CGGGGUGCACCAGGCGCGAAAACUUUACAAUGCCGGCAACGGCGAUAAGGGAACCUCGAGUGCCAGGUUACAAAUCUGGCUGUCGUGAUGCCUAAAAAGCAUUGCAUAGCAAGGGCCGGGCAAGACCGGUGCCAGCCGCCGCGGUAACACCGGCGGCUCGAGUGGUAACCGUUAUUAUUGGGUCUAAAGGGUCUGUAGCCGGCCGGGUAAGUCUCUUGGGAAAUCUGGCAGCUUAACUGUCAGGCUUUCAGGAGAUACUGCCUGGCUCGAGGCCGGGAGAGGUGAGAGGUACUUCAGGGGUAGGGGUGAAAUCUUGUAAUCCUUGAAGGACCACCAGUGGCGAAGGCGUCUCACCAGAACGGACCUGACGGCAAGGGACGAAAGCUAGGGGCACGAACCGGAUUAGAUACCCGGGUAGUCCUAGCCGUAAACGAUACUCGCUAGGUGUCGGCCACGGUGCGACCGUGGUCGGUGCCGUAGGGAAGCCGUGAAGCGAGCCACCUGGGAAGUACGGCCGCAAGGCUGAAACUUAAAGGAAUUGGCGGGGGAGCACAAGGGCGAUUCGCG
rnacentral:rRNA from 1 species